rnacentral:misc_RNA from 1 species
CAGAGUUGCAAGACUCCCCUAAACCAUUGUGAACCUACCUUCUACCGUUGCUUCGGCGGGCGGGCCCAGCGCCCCCCCCCGGCCCCCCGCGGGCGCCCGCCGGAGGAUACCCAAACUCUUGACAUUAGUGGCCUCUCUGAGUAUUCUUUACUGAAUAAGUCA